rnacentral:lncRNA from 1 species
CUGGUAUAUUUGACGUUUGAAUUGAUGCUCUGUUUCAAAUUUGGUUAGUGUUGACUUUUAUAGAUUACUAUAACAUGUAUAGGGUAUGGGUUUUCUCAUUACUUACAGGUCAUCAAUGGCCUCUAAUAAGUAAUUACAAUGCUUACAUCCACUAAAUUGAACUCUGAUGGAUAGUUUUCUCUUUAAUCAUACCACAUCUUAUUUUAAUAAAUAUUUAAUUAUUAUUCAAGGACAAAAUUUUUAUAACAGUGGACUUACCAUUUAGGCUUUGUUGACCUCUGUAAAUCUUAUUUUGUUGAUAAUUUCUUCUGUUUAUAGUUUCCCUUUUAUCUUUCAUGUUCUUGCC